rnacentral:rRNA from 1 species
GAUGAACUCUAUCUACAGGCUUAACACAUGCAAGUCGAGGGGCAGCAUGGUCUUAGCUUGCUAAGGCCGAUGGCGACCGGCGCACGGGUGAGUAACACGUAUCCAACCUGCCGUCUACUCUUGGACAGCCUUCUGAAAGGAAGAUUAAUACAAGAUGGCAUCAUGAGUCCGCAUGUUCACAUGAUUAAAGGUAUUCCGGUAGACGAUGGGGAUGCGUUCCAUUAGAUAGUAGGCGGGGUAACGGCCCACCUAGUCUUCGAUGGAUAGGGGUUCUGAGAGGAAGGUCCCCCACAUUGGAACUGAGACACGGUCCAAACUCCUACGGGAGGCAGCAGUGAGGAAUAUUGGUCAAUGGGCGCAGGCCUGAACCAGCCAAGUAGCGUGAAGGAUGACUGCCCUAUGGGUUGUAAACUUCUUUUAUAAAGGAAUAAAGUCGGGUAUGGAUACCCGUUUGCAUGUACUUUAUGAAUAAGGAUCGGCUAACUCCGUGCCAGCAGCCGCGGUAAUACGGAGGAUCCGAGCGUUAUCCGGAUUUAUUGGGUUUAAAGGGAGCGUAGAUGGAUGUUUAAGUCAGUUGUGAAAGUUUGCGGCUCAACCGUAAAAUUGUAGUUGAUACUGGAUAUCUUGAGUGCAGUUGAGGCAGGCGGAAUUCGUGGUGUAGCGGUGAAAUGCUUAGAUAUCACGAAGAACUCCGAUUGCGAAGGCAGCCUGCUAAGCUGCAACUGACAUUGAGGCUCGAAAGUGUGGGUAUCAAACAGGAUCAGAUACCCUGGUAGUCCACACGGUAAACGAUGAAUACUCGCUGUUUGCGAUAUACGGCAAGCGGCCAAGCGAAAGCGUUAAGUAUUCCACCUGGGGAGUACGCCGGCAACGGUGAAACUCAAAGGAAUUGACGGGGGCCCGCACAAGCGGAGGAACAUGUGGUUUAAUUCGAUGAUACGCGAGGAACCUUACCCGGGCUUAAAUUGCAGAUGAAUUACGGUGAAAGCCGUAAGCCGCAAGGCAUCUGUGAAGGUGCUGCAUGGUUGUCGUCAGCUCGUGCCGUGAGGUGUCGGCUUAAGUGCCAUAACGAGCGCAACCCUUGUUGUCAGUUACUAACAGGUUCUGCUGAGGACUCUGACAAGACUGCCAUCGUAAGAUGUGAGGAAGGUGGGGAUGACGUCAAAUCAGCACGGCCUUUACGUCCGGGGCUACACACGUGUUACAAUGGGGGGUACAGAGGGCCGCUACCACGCGAGUGGAUGCCAAUCCCAAAAACCUCUCUCAGUUCGGACUGGAGUCUGCAACCCGACUCCACGAAGCUGGAUUCGCUAGUAAUCGCGCAUCAGCCACGGCGCGGUGAAUACGUUCCCGGGCCUUGCACA